rfam:Schistosoma rodhaini strain Burundi genome assembly, scaffold: SROB_scaffold0017192
AACUUGUUGAAUCUGUGCUGAGAUUUCGUCAGACACCAACCCGUUAGGGCUGUUCAAACUUCCAAGAUAAGUGAAGUU